CUUUACUCAGCUCUGGAAGGAAGCCAAAAAGGAAAAAUUAAGGUUAAAAAAAACUAUGUUAUUUUAAAACAGCUUAUUGAAGGAAAUAAUAGUAACAGGAAAAAUCAAUGAAGUGCACAAAGCCGAAUAAAAAGCAAUGAAGUCUGGAGUAAAGGCAAACACUAUUGUAUUCAACAGAAGGAAUCAUGGGACUAAUAACAAGAACUGGAAAUGAAAUCCUUCGAAGAAAAAACAGAGGGUUGGGAAAUGGUAAAAGACCUUUUUGAUCUCAUCCAUCUUGAGGGAUGCGGCCUAAAGCACAUACAGUCCUCCAAAGAAAAAGUAAUGCCGUGUUACAAAACAGGUUUCCUAUUUUGAUGCACCUGGACAUACCGAGGACUAAACUGUCCUUAGAAGGGAUGUGCACAUUCACAUCAAGACACAAGACAACACCAUCAGACUUCUGGAAAUUAUUUAAAACUUAAGUUUUGGUUAUGGAUUACUGUUGGAGCCACAUCUCUGAAGGACAAUAAUAAAUGGAUUCCAGACACAUGGACAGACCCAGAAGACUCCAAAGCAGGGGCAAUAUUGCCUGUUUCUAGCAAACCCAUAAAAAUGAAACAAUUGGGCACCAAUUGUUUUAGAAAAGCCCACUCUCUUCAAAUGUGAGAUGAAAAAUGAGAAGAAAAAGGUGUUAAGAAGGACCUAAUUAAGAAUUUUUAUGUUACGUAUUUGAACAACUUGACUCUGAUGCAACAUCAUGAUGUAGGGAAUGGUUCAGAAGUCAUACUCGUGAAGUAGAAAGAAAAGAAAAACAAACAGAAAGUUGCACCAGAAUUAGUGUGGCACUGGUUUAUUUCCUACCUGAUUGUAAAGGAAAAAUUGAGAUAUGCUAAUUUAUCAUGCAGCCGCAUAACUUCAUAAUGCAAAAUUUAUGAGAAGAGAUGAGAGGAAAUUGGAGAGGAACAUUAUGGGAGCAAUAAAUACUUAUAUAUACUUAUAUAUAAUACUUAUAUAUAAUUGCAAAUAUUAUAAUGCUGUUGCAUAUUAGUUGAGACCAUUUAGGUGAUUAUUUAGGCUAAAAGUAUAUAUAUAUAUAUAUAUAUAUAUAUAUAUUUAAUUAAAAUACUAUUUAACUGAGCCUCUUGUAGGGGUUAAGUACCCUUCUAGGUAUUGGGGAUACAUCAAUUUCCCAUAUAAAGAUUCCUGUAGAAAUCUAUAUAUAUAUAUA
rnacentral:lncRNA from 1 species